rnacentral:rRNA from 1 species
ACUCCUACGGGAGGCAGCAGUGGGGAAUAUUGGACAAUGGGCGAAAGCCUGAUCCAGCCAUGCCGCGUGUGUGAAGAAGGUCUUCGGAUUGUAAAGCACUUUAAGUUGGGAGGAAGGGCAGUUACCUAAUACGUGAUUGUUUUGACGUUACCGACAGAAUAAGCACCGGCUAACUCUGUGCCAGCAGCCGCGGUAAUACAGAGGGUGCAAGCGUUAAUCGGAAUUACUGGGCGUAAAGCGCGCGUAGGUGGUUAGUUAAGUUGGAUGUGAAAUCCCCGGGCUCAACCUGGGAACUGCAUUCAAAACUGACUGACUAGAGUAUGGUAGAGGGUGGUGGAAUUUCCUGUGUAGCGGUGAAAUGCGUAGAUAUAGGAAGGAACACCAGUGGCGAAGGCGACCACCUGGACUGAUACUGACACUGAGGUGCGAAAGCGUGGGGAGCAAACA